rnacentral:rRNA from 1 species
UACAUAGGGUGCAAGCGUUGUCCGGAAUUAUUGGGCGUAAAGAGCUCGUAGGUGGUUCGUCACGUCGGAUGUGAAAAUCUGGGGCUUAACCCCAGACCUGCAUUCGAUACGGUCGGACUGGAGUGUGGUAGGGGAGACUGGAAUUCCUGGUGUAGCGGUGGAAUGCGCAGAUAUCAGGAGGAACACCAAUGGCGAAGGCAGGUCUCUGGGCCAUUACUGACACUGAGGAGAGAAGGCGUGGGGAGCGACCAGGAUUAGAUCCCGUGGUAGUCCACGCCGUAAACGAUGGGCACGAGUUGUGGAAACCUUCCACGGUUUCUGCGACGCAGCUAACGCAUUAAGUGCCCCGCCUGGGGAGUACGAUCGCAAGAUUA